rnacentral:rRNA from 1 species
AUUGAACGCUGGCGGCAGGCCUAACACAUGCAAGUCGAGCGGAUGAAGGGAGCUUGCUCCUGGCUUCAGCGGCGGACGGGUGAGUAAUGCCUAGGAAUCUGCCUGGUAGUGGGGGCUAACGUCCGGACACGGGCGCUAAUACCGCAUACGUCCUGAGGGAGAAAGUGGGGGAUCUUCGGACCUCACGCUAUCUGAUGAUCCUAGGUCGGAUUAGCUAGUUGGUGGGGUAAAGGCCUACCAAGGCGACGAUCCGUAACUGGUCUGAGAGGAUGAUCAGUCACACUGGAACUGAGACACGGUCCAGACUACUACGGGAGGCAGCAGUGGGGAAUAUUAGACAAUGGGCGAAAGCCUGAUCCAGCCAUGCCGCGUGUGUGAAGAAGGUCUUCGGAUUGUAAAGCACUUUAAGUUGGGAAGAAGGACAGUAAGUGAAUACCUUGCUGUUUCGACGUUACCAAAAGAAUAAGCACCGGCUAACUUCGUG